CAAGAUAUAGCUUGAUUAGUUAAGUAUUUCAUUUACGCUGAAUUUUUUUCUGUGCAAUUCAGAAUAUCUUGA
rnacentral:tRNA from 1 species